GAUGAAGAACGUAGCGAAAUGCGAUAAGUAAUGUGAAUUGCAGAAUUCAGUGAAUCAUCGAAUCUUUGAACGCACAUUUCGCCCAUUAGUAUUCUAGUGGGCAUGCCUGUUCGAGCGUCAUUAAGUCCACUUAAGCCCUGCUUAGUGUUGGGAGACUGCUCCAGCGGUGCUACCCUGUAGCUACCCUGCAGCUCCUCAAAGACAGCGGCGGAGUUGUGGUAUCCUCUGAGCUUAGUAACUUGUUCUAGCUUUCGAGUACACCAAUUCCCCUGCCGUAAAACCCUUAAUUUUUAAUGGUUGACCUCGGAUCAGGUAGGAAUACCCGCUGAACUUAAGCAUAUCAAUAAGCGGAGGA
rnacentral:misc_RNA from 1 species